GUGGGGAAUCUUAGACAAUGGGGGCAACCCUGAUCUAGCCAUGCCGCGUGAGUGAUGAAGGCCUUAGGGUCGUAAAGCUCUUUCGCUGGGGAAGAUAAUGACGGUACCCAGUAAAGAAACCCCGGCUAACUCCGUGCCAGCAGCCGCGGUAAUACGGAGGGGGUUAGCGUUGUUCGGAAUUACUGGGCGUAAAGCGCGCGUAGGCGGAUUGGAAAGUUGGGGGUGAAAUCCCGGGGCUCAACCCUGGAAUGGCCUUCAAAACUCCCAGUCUUGAGGUCGAGAGAGGUGAGUGGAAUUCCGAGUGUAGAGGUGAAAUUCGUAGAUAUUCGGAGGAACACCAGUGGCGAAGGCGGCUCACUGGCUCGAUACUGACGCUGAGGUGCGAAAGCGUGGGGAGCAAACAGGAUUAGAAACCCCAGUAGUCC
rnacentral:rRNA from 1 species